rnacentral:rRNA from 1 species
CCUACGGGGUGCAGCAGUGAGGAAUAUUGGUCAAUGGGCGCGAGCCUGAACCAGCCAAGUAGCGUGAAGGAUGACUGCCCUACGGGUUGUAAACUUCUUUUAUAAAGGAAUAAAGUGAGGCACGUGUGCCUUUUUGUAUGUACUUUAUGAAUAAGGAUCGGCUAACUCCGUGCCAGCAGCCGCGGUAAUACGGAGGAACCGAGCGUUAUCCGGAUUUAUUGGGGUUAAAGGGAGCGUAGAUGGGUUGUUAAGUCAGAUGUGAAAGUUUGCGGCUCAACCGUAAAAUUGCAAUUGAUACUGGCAGGCUUGAGUACAGUUGAGGUAGGCGGAAUUCGUGGUGGAGCGGUGAAAUGCUUAGAUAUCACGAAGAACACCGAUUGCGAAGGCAGCUUACUAAACUGCCACUGACGUUGAUGCUCGAAAGUGUGGGUAUCAAACAGGAUUAGAUACCCGGGUAGUC